GGAGGAGUGGCCGAGUGGUUGAAGGCGGACGCCUCGAAAGCGUCUAUACCGGAAACGGUAUCAGGGGUUCGAAUCCUCUCUCCUCCGCCA
rnacentral:tRNA from 4 species